GACGAACGCUGGCGGCGUGCCUAAUACAUGCAAGUAGAACGCACAGUUUAUACCGUAGCUUGCUACACCAUAAACUGUGAGUUGCGAACGGGUGAGUAACGCGUAGGUAACCUGCCUGGUAGCGGGGGAUAACUAUUGGAAACGAUAGCUAAUACCGCAUAAUAUUGAUUAUUGCAUGAUAAUUGAUUGAAAGAUGCUAUUGCAUCACUACCAGAUGGACCUGCGUUGUAUUAGCUAGUAGGUGAGGUAACGGAUCACCUAGGCGACGAUACAUAGCCGACCUGAGAGGGUGAUCGGCCACACUGGGACUGAGACACGGCCCAGACUCCUACGGGAGGCAGCAGUAGGGAAUCUUCGGCAAUGGACGAAAGUCUGACCGAGCAACGCCGCGUGAGUGAAGAAGGUUUUCGGAUCGUAAAGCUCUGUUGUAAGAGAAGAACGGGUGUGAGAGUGGAAAGUUCACACUGUGACGGUAUCUUACCAGAAAGGGACGGCUAACUACGUG
rnacentral:rRNA from 1 species